rnacentral:rRNA from 1 species
UGAGGAAUUUUGCGCAAUGGCCGCAAGGCUGACGCAGCAACGCCGCGUGGGUGAAGAAGGCCUUCGGGUCGUAAAGCCCUGUCAGGUGGGAAGAAAUGCCCGGAGCAAAUAGUAUCCGGGUCUUGACGGUACCACCAGAGGAAGCACCGGCUAACUCCGUGCCAGCAGCCGCGGUAAUACGGAGGGUGCAAGCGUUAUUCGGAAUUAUUGGGCGUAAAGCGCGUGCAGGCGGCCGAGCAAGUCUGAUGUGAAAGCCCCGGGCUUAACCUGGGAAGUGCAUUGGAAACUGCUUGGCUUGAGUACUGGAGAGGAAGGGGGAAUUCCCGGUGUAGAGGUGAAAUUCGUAGAGAUCGGGAGGAAUACCAGUGGCGAAGGCGCCCUUCUGGACGGUAACUGACGCUGAGACGCGAAAGCGUGGGGAGCAAACA